AGGACGAACGCUGGCGGCGUGCUUAACACAUGCAAGUCGAGCGAUGAACUCUCUUCGGAGGGGGAUUAGCGGCGAACGGGUGAGUAACACGUGGGCAACCUGCCCUCAGCUCUGGGAUAACUCCUCGAAAGAGGGGCUAAUACCGGAUACGACUUCCUGCGGCAUCUUGAGAAGUGGAAAGUUUUUCGGCUGAGGAUGGGCCCGCGGCCUAUCAGCUUGUUGGUGGGGUAAUGGCCCACCAAGGCGACGACGGGUA
rnacentral:rRNA from 1 species